rnacentral:rRNA from 1 species
UACGUAGGGUGCAAGCGUUGUCCGGAAUUAUUGGGCGUAAAGAGCUCGUAGGCGGUUUGUCGCGUCGAAUGUGAAAACCUGGGGCUCAACCCCGGGCCUGCAUUCGAUACGGGCAGACUAGAGGUUCGGUAGGGGAGUCUGGAAUUCCUGGUGUAGCGGUGAAAUGCGCAGAUAUCAGGAGGACACCAAAGGCGAAGGCAGUGUCCUGGGGAGUACCUGACCGCUGAGGUGCG